GUCAGGUCUGUGGAUGGGGUGAGGUCACCAGGAUGAGGUCACAAAGGCAUUGAUGCCCCUUUGUCCUAUCAUGUGACCACUUGUCACACUUCCAUCAAACAGUACCUGCCCCUUAGGUGUGCUAGGGAAUAAAUGAAAUGCCUGGGACAUCAUCGUUAAGUGGCAUCUGAUGCAUAAGCAGUGCCCUAGGAAUGGGGUUGCCUGCCUUGGUCUCUAAAGGAUGGGUUCAAAAGGCAAGAGCAGCACACAAGAAGAUAGCUUCAAGCAGGAGAUAAAGCUUGGCCCAGGGCCCAAAGGGGAUACGACCCUUCAGCAAACUGACAUGCUGAAAGCUGCCCUAUGGAGAGGCUCAUGUGGCAAGGAACAGAGGGUGGCUUCUGGCCAACACCCAGUGAGGAACUCAGGCCCUCAGUCAAACAGCCUGCAAGGAACUGAACCCUGCCAAUAACCUGUUCUCCAGAUAUCAUCACGUAUAA
rnacentral:lncRNA from 10 species